rnacentral:rRNA from 2 species
UACGUAGGCAGCAAGCGUUGUUCGGAGUUACUGGGCGUAAAGGGUGUGUAGGCGGUUCCUUAAGUUUGCUGUGAAAUCUCCCGGCUUAACCGGGAGGGUGCGGUGAAUACUGAGGGACUAGAGUACGGGAGAGGAAAGUGGAAUUCCUGGUGUAGCGGUGAAAUGCGUAGAUAUCAGGAGGAACACCGGUGGUGUAGACGGCUUUCUGGACCGUAACUGACGCUGAGACACGAAAGCGUGGGUAGCAAACAGG